GGGGCAUAAUUCAGUACGAUAAAGGUGGAAAAGGGAAUAGAAUUCUUGUCUUUUUGACAAAAGAGAUAAAUAGCUAGAAAAUGAUCCAUGAUUUAAAGGUAUCGUCAUGUGUUUCUUUUGUUUACCACUAGAGGGCGCCCGUGUUAGAAAGUUUUACUUUUAACCCUAUUAUGUCCUAGGUUAAAUGGAGCCAUUUCAAAGUAAGCCUUAUACAUACAGGUCAUUAUGACUAAACCUAACCCGUUAUCAUUAUCGUCACAUCAUUUCCCACCUCACUUCCUUCCAUACUUGGAUCAUGUUCCAUGCACAUGCUGCGUAGAUAUUGAUACCAGAUUGUGAAGGGUGUAAAUAUAAACCACCCUUCCACACCCCUUGAACAGGAUUUAAUGAUGGUUGCCUCUCGGUUACAGUACCAAGAGACUUACUGAACAAUUAUACCAUCCCCCGGAAUAUUCUCGUGUGUUGAUGCUGAUUGAUUGCAGGGUGUUGGAUAUGCGGGACCUUAAGACUGAAUGGAGGUCGAUGCCUGCUAAUGACCGAAAGUGAUGAGGAUCCAAUCUCAUUGGCAGAACUGCUUGGUCCUGGGCAGUAACCCAAGCUGGGCCAGAAAUAGUGUCCAUCCAUGGAGAGGAUGUCAAUACAGCCAAAGUUUGGACACAUCCUCUAAGAGCAGGCCGCUGCUUAGAUCUUCACACCAAACUUGUGGCAUGCACUGGCCGGGGUUGAUGACCGCGCAGGCCAGGGAUUUGUACUCAUCUGUGGGCUUGUACUGCCCCCAUGUGGCUACUACGCAUCACUGAUAACUGAGGUAGGUUUUAUUGAGGUCAUGCAGAUUUAUUAUGGUGACAGUAAAAAAACUGAACUAGUGCCCUUUUGCAAAAAGUCCUUU